AUUGAACGCUGGCGGAAUGCUUUACACAUGCAAGUCGAACGGCAGCACGGGGGCAGCCCUGGUGGCGAGUGGCGAACGGGUGGGUAAUACAUCGGAACGUGCCCGGUCGUGGGGGAUAACGUAGCGAAAGUUACGCUAAUACCGCAUACGAUCUGAGGAUGAAAGCGGGGGACCUUCGGGCCUCGCGCGAUCGGAGCGGCCGAUGUCAGAUUAGGUAGUUGGUGGGGUAAAGGCCUACCAAGCCGACGAUCUGUAGCUGGUCUGAGAGGACGACCAGCCACACUGGGACUGAGACACGGCCCAGACUCCUACGGGAGGCAGCAGUGGGGAAUUUUGGACAAUGGGCGCAAGCCUGAUCCAGCCAUUCCGCGUGCAGGACGAAGGCCUUCGGGUUGUAAACUGCUUUUGUACGGAACGAAAAGGCUCUGGCUAAUACCUGGGGCUCAUGACGGUACCGUAAGAAUAAGCACCGGCUAACUACGUG
rnacentral:rRNA from 1 species